GCCAUUUUUUUUAUUUUUUUUAUUUUAGUGGACAUUUUUUAAUUUUAGUAAAACAAAUAGAUCAUUUUCAAAAUCCAUUCAAUAUUUAAUAGUAACUGAAAUUCGAUUAAAUUUAAAUCAGUUAAUCUAUCUAUUAUACUAAAGGAAAGUUGUGAUUCACAACUUUUCCCACCCAAACUACUACUAUAAUUUUCAUUUUUUAUUUUUUAUUUUUCAAAAAAGCUGUCAAAAUUAAUAGUCCUUUCCAAUUUUCCAUAAUUGAGUCUUUUCAUAUUCUCCAACUUAUUUAAGUUGAUGAUUCCAUCUCUCUUUCUUUAACUCUCUCUCGUAAAUUUCGCAACUGCCUGUCUUCUCUCUCACAUUUCCUCUUUCCUUUUAGAUUCCAUCACUUUCAACGUCCAUUUUCCCUCUGUAAGAAAAUCUGCGGGUAAGGCUUCGUCCUUCACCUCCUUCAUUCUUCUAGAUCUGGUUCUGGCCUUCUUCCUCUCUCUUUCUUCUAGAUUCGACUCCAACUUUCUCUUCCCUAUCUUUUUUUUUUCCUUCAUCGACAUGCCUGUCCUGCCGCUAGAUUCUGGUGGUGGCGCGAUUCCAAAAAUGCGGCAAUCUGCGGAUGGUUAUGGACGGAUGAGCACGACCGAAGUUGAGUGAAAAUCAUGUUAAUAGGUUUUUGUUGUGGUUUUUGAAUCUCUAUUGCCC
rnacentral:lncRNA from 1 species